AGUAAUUGAUCUUGGUCAGGAUGAACGCUAGCGGCAGGCUUAACACAUGCAAGUCGAGGGGCAUCGGGAGUAGCAAUACUUGCCGGCGACCGGCGCAAGGGUGCGUAACGCGUGAGCAACAUGCCCGUAUCAGGGGGAUAAUCCAUGGAAACGUGGUCUAAUACCCCAUAGUAAUUAUGUAAGGCAUCUUAUAUAAUUUAAAGCUUUGGUGGAUACGGAUUGGCUCGCGUGACAUUAGCUAGAUGGUAAGGUAACGGCUUACCAUGGCUACGAUGUCUAGGGGUUCUGAGAGGAAGGCCCCCCACACUGGAACUGAGACACGGUCCAGACUCCUACGGGAGGCAGCAGUGAGGAAUAUUGGACAAUGGAUGGAAAUCUGAUCCAGCCAUGCCGCGUGCAGGAAGACGGCCCUAUGGGUUGUAAACUGCUUUUGUAUGGGAGCAAUAAGGGCUACGCGUAGUCCGAUGAGAGUACCAUACGAAUAAGCACCGGCUAACUCCGUGCCAGCCGCGGC
rnacentral:rRNA from 1 species